UGAUAAUUUUUUAUUUAUGGAAAUUUGUCUAUUUUAAUAGGUUGUUGUUGGAAUAUUUUCAAUUAAUGAAGUAUACAAAUUUUCUGUAAAAAGUUAUGUUGCAUUUGUAAUUAUAUUAUCUUACGCUCUUGUAUUCUGGAUAAUUCUUUCUUGCGGGAUCACACAUGAGAAACCAGUUUUAGUGUACUUAUUUGUAUAUGGAAGUAUGGCACUGCCCGUAUGGGUAACUUACAAAUUCAUGGCAUUUAAUUGCCUAUCAAAGAAUUGCACAUCAUAUGAAGCAUCAUUGAAUUAUUCAGAACUUGGUUCUGGCAUUAUUUCUAUUCUAUCAAGAUUUUAUGUCUUAGUUAAAUUGCUAGAUGUCUUCAGAAAUUUUGGUUGUGGAUUAUCAGACAGAGGUAAGAAAAAGAAUUUUUUUGAAAGUUUAUAUUUUCAUUUCAAAUAUAUCUCGGUAAAACUUAUGUAAUUUAUGUAACCUACUCAUAUAAUACAAGGAACUAUUGUUAAAGCAAAUUUUGUGUUAACUAUAAAAUGAGACAAAAUUAGACUUUAUUUUAGCAUUAAAAUAUAGUGUGUUCAUCUGCCUUAAAACAAUCCAUACUUACAAUGUUCUAAACUGCUAUUUCCUCAGACAUCUGGCCAGCCCCAUAAAGGUAUCAGCCUGCUGACCCUGGGACCUGGGAUUGAAUCUAGGCAGAGCACUCAAAAAUUUUUCAUUUUUAGUCUCAUCAGUAAUUGCACAUACCAAUAAAACUGUGUGACAGUUAUUUUUAAAUGUAAUAUUGUUGUUAGGGUUUGGCAAAUCUAUUUUUGAGAUUUAAGAAGUCAAGUCUAGAUUUCAAUCUGUUUAAAUACUAUGUAUUUGUUUGCUUUUAUUGAACUUUGAUGUUUGAAUGUAUCAUAGAGACUAAAGAAUCUAAUAUAAUUUUAACAAGGUUCAAAUUAAAAUAUUUUUCUUACUUUUUAUUUAGGCCUAUACAUUGAGAUUUUAUACAAUUAACUAAUUAAAAUUCAUAUCCUGUUUUGCAUAUGCAUAUCCUCUUUAAUUUAAUCACUAAAUUAUUAUUGUCGGUGACAAUACAGUUUAAUAAAACAACUUAUUACUGAAUUACUGGAAAGUAUAAUACACCUCAAUAACCUUUAUAGACCAGUAACAACAUUACAAAGCCAGUCUAAUAGGCAACUGCAUUAAUUCAAAGGAUUCCAUUAAGGUCUCCUAUUCAUGGAGGUAUUGUUAUGAAAAAACAGGCAACACUAGCAUUUAGCAUCUUUGCUAUACCUUUGUUUAUAUCUUAAUUAUUGUUUAUGGUAUAGAGAUAUUUCUAUCACUAUGGUAACAUGCACAGCUAAAAGUUAUCUACACACAUUUAAAUUGUUCUGCAGUUUUAAAUAAUUUUUAAACUUGUUGUUCCAUUCAUUCCAUGUUUGAAUCUUACUAGUUAAAAAAAACCUGAUGACAACUCUGGUUUACGGUCAAAAACGUUACUUUUCAUUAAAUGUUCGUUGUUACUGGUCUAUAAAAGUUAUUGAGGACAAUGCUGUUUCGUAACUGUCUCAAAUGUGUUUAAAAUGAAUCACUAUUAUCUUAAACAGAAAUAAAUUAAUUAAAUAUUUAGAAAAUUUACUGUAUAUAUGCAUAGAUAGAUUAAAAAAUAUAUUGUUUAACAUAGUUUGUUUUUUUGACUUUCUUCCUUGUUGCACUAAAAGGACAAAGGCCAGGCCCAGGGUUGGCUAUGUGAGGAACAGGCUCCAACUUAUGCAGGGCAGAUCACACAUGAAAAAUUCCUAGGGAAUUGAUUGUCCCAGACUAGAACCUAAGUCUCCAGAGUGGUAGGAUUACACCUUAACUGCCUCAGUCAUUUGGCUGUCAAGCUCCUUCUGACUUUGGAAUUCUUUCAGGCAUCUCAAACUUUUGAUUUCAUUGGCAUUUUCUAUUUUUAUCAAAUCUUUAAAUAAACAAAUAUAACAUGAGUAUGCAUAUUUUGAAACAGUGUUAGCAGACUUGUGAAAAACCAUUUUUCUGAAUCAGCAUACAAUAUUUUUUUUUGAUUCAGGCUAUUUUCAACUUUUUUAGUACAGUACGUCUCAAAUCAACUUAAUAGCCUUACACAACAAAAUUUUUAUGUCCAGUAUUGUAGAUAUGAUGAUACAACUGCAAGUUACUAACUACAUUUGUAUCCUUACAUCUUUAAUAAUUCUUUGACAAUCAAUGACCAAUGAUUUCUAUUUAAUGCUGUUAAAAUAUACAAAGUUUGGAUUCGGCCUUAUCAAGUUUUAUAUCAAGUCAGAGUAAAUGAAAGGACUCUACGAGUCCGAGUACUCGGACCUGAAAAACACUAACUGUUGUAAAGGGCUUUAAAUGCUCUAAGUAACAAUAGCUUGUAGUUAAACAUGGCUAAACUUAUAAUUUAGGGAUCAGAUUCUCAAAUGUUUUUUAACAUAAAACAUAAUAUCUAUGAUAUGAUAUUGUAAAAUUACUAGAAACUUGCCUUUAUAUAAUAUCCAUUCUAUAUGUUUUAUGAAUAAAAUAUGAUAUCUUAGUAUUCAUGACAAAGCAAAAUAUCUGAAAACAUAAGUGGUCAUUAAGUUUUAAUAUAGCCAAUCAGUUUGCUUCUCACAUGUUUGCAUUGUUUGAAAAAAGAGUAAUUGAUUUCUAUUUUAAACCUGAUUUUUAUUCAACUGAACUAAAUAAAGGUGAUAGAAGGCCAAGUGUUUGAAU